UACGGAGGAUGCGAGCGUUAUCCGGAUUUACUGGGUGUAAAGGGAGCGUAGACGGCGAUGCAAGCCAGAUGUGAAAGCCCGCGGCUCAACUGCGGUAGUGCAUUUGGAACUGUAUGGCUGGAGUGCAGGAGAGGCAGGCGGAAUUCCUAGUGUAGCGGUGAAAUGCAUAGAUAUCACGCAGAACUCCGAUUGCGAAGGCAGCAUACCGGUGCCCAACUGACGCUGAAGCACGAAAGCGUGGGUAUCGAACAGG
rnacentral:rRNA from 1 species